rnacentral:sRNA from 1 species
GCAGCAUCUCGGUAGGUGAGGCGUCUGCACGGAUACAGGCCACUGACCCCGAACGUCGAGAGACGCCCCGGGUCAGGACAGCUCUUCCCGGCUUAAGGGUUGAGCCCAAGUGGCUUCCGGAUCGUGAUCCGGAUACGCCGUGCAGUGCCGAAGCUCCGACGAGAGGGAUGCGCG